UACAGAGGGUGCGAGCGUUAAUCGGAAUUACUGGGCGUAAAGCGCGCGUAGGCGGCUUUGCAAGCCGGAUGUGAAAUCCCCGGGCUUAACCUGGGAACUGCAUUCGGGACUGCAUUGCUAGAGUAUGGGAGAGGGAAGUGGAAUUUCAGGUGUAGCGGUGAAAUGCGUAGAUAUCUGGAGGAACACCGGUGGCGAAGGCGACAUCCUGGACCGGUAUUGACGCUGAGGCGCGAAAGCCAGGGGAGCAAACGGG
rnacentral:rRNA from 1 species